rnacentral:snRNA from 1 species
UCUUCAGAGUACACAACUCU